rnacentral:rRNA from 1 species
AACGCUAGCUACGGCUUAACACAUGCAAGUCGCGGGGCAUCAUGGCGAUAGCUUGCUAUUGCUGAUGGCGACCGGCGCACGGGUGAGUAACGCGUAUCCAACCUGCCCCAUACUACGGCACGGCCCGGCGAAAGUCGGAUUAAUGCCGUAUGUUCUCCGAAGAAGACAUCUGACUUGGAGCAAAGCAGCGAUGCGGUAUGGGAUGGGGAUGCGUCCGAUUAGCUUGUUGGCGGGGUAACGGCCCACCAAGGCGACGAUCGGUAGGGGUUCUGAGAGGAAGGUCCCCCACACUGGAACUGAGACACGGUCCAGACUCCUACGGGAGGCAGCAGUGAGGAAUAUUGGUCAAUGGGCGCGAGCCUGAACCAGCCAAGUAGCGUGCAGGAGGAAGGCCCUAUGGGUUGUAAACUGCUUUUAUGCGGGGAUAAACGAGGGGACGUGUCCCCUUUUGCAGGUACCGCAUGAAUAAGGACCGGCUAAUUCCGUGCCAGCAGCCGCGGUAAUACGGAAGGUCCGGGCGUUAUCCGGAUUUAUUGGGUUUAAAGGGAGCGCAGGCCGGAGGCUAAGCGUGCCGUGAAAUGUAGGCGCCCAACGUCUGAAUUGCAGCGCGAACUGGCUUUCUUGAGUGCGUGGGAAGUGGGCGGAAUUCGUGGUGUAGCGGUGAAAUGCUUAGAUAUCACGAAGAACUCCGAUUGCGAAGGCAGCCCACUGUUGCGUCACUGACGCUGAGGCUCGAAAGUGCGGGUAUCGAACAGGAUUAGAUACCCUGGUAGUCCGCACGGUAAACGAUGGAUGCCCGCUGUUUGCCC